ensembl:antisense Gm29994 predicted gene, 29994
GAACACUGAACAUUUUGGCUUCCUCCUCCCUCGGAAUUCUGGAGAGUUCCUGAGAUGCUCAGAAGCAAGGUUGCCAUGGUGAGAUUUAACUAUGUAUGUGAAACUCACUCUUGCCCCAUGGACAAAGAUGGAGGGUGUGAGGGACACCCCCUCCCACAACCCCCAGAGGACAGAAAUUCACACAGGUGUCUUCAUGAAAGCCAAAGGAAAACCCCUCAGUCUGGUGUGACUGAGCUCGUGAAGGUGUGGGAGAGCACAGACGGGAGCAGGUCAGGGGGGCGCCCUGGCAGUGGCCGGUGCUUGGUGCUGCCAGGGAAUAAAGGUGAGUAUAAGGCUAGCCUGGAACCGAGAGGGCUGGGCAGUCUGGGAAAUGCUAGAGGCCAAACAGGUGGCCACCUUCCGACAAGUGACAGCGGGAGGGUUCUAUAAGGCCUGGAGCCACUGGGUCAUGGGCUCAGUCACCUGGAGAGAGAUUAAAAUUACCCCUCAUUUCCAGCAGAGGAAGGCAGGCCUUGGAGGCCUUUUCAAAGUCACACACAGCCAGUUAAGUGGUGCAAUCGCAACUCCAUCUGGCCUGAUAUGACCCAAAAGCCCAUGAUGAUCUCACACAGAGGAACUUGGCUUCCACCAGGCAUCCCUGGAGCCCAGCAGCAGAUUCAAGGGACUCUUCCAAGAUUUAAAGACAAAAGUAAGCAUAAAGAAAAGGCACUGUGGUUGUCCAAGCACCUACAUGUUCUGGCUAACCCUGGGUGUGGAGGUCCGGGAAGAGGAGCAGCCUAUGGCUGGGCUGCAACAAUGUAUUCCCCGUGUUAUGCUAAGAAGUAAGAAACCUGGAAAAGCCACACUGACAGCAGAUUGUACUUAAUUGUGUUACAAUGUGUAUGCAUGUGUAUUUGGUUAGCAAAGCAAGAAUCUAUUAGCACCUAAAAAUAUAUGUAUAUCUAACCAUAUGAGAUGCUGUUCUGCAGCAUUUAGAUGACUUUUGAAGAGUUUUUACUGACAUGGGGGAAUUCAUCUAACAUGUUAUAAAGAAGAAAAAAUAGGCUACAGUAAUAUUGGAAAGAUGGAUGACUUCAAUUUCUAUUAAAAAAAAAAAACAACUGAUAAUAUUGUGAACAAGUUUGCCAGACUUUUUAAAAAACGAAGCUUAUGCAUGCUGUUUGACUAUAGAAAUAAAAAUGCUUAGAAAGAUA